rnacentral:rRNA from 1 species
GGCUAAUACCGCAUAAUACCUUCGGGUCAAAGAGGGGGACCUUCGGGCCUCUCGCGUCAGGAUAUGCCUAGGUGGGAUUAGCUAGUUGGUGAGGUAAUGGCUCACCAAGGCGACGAUCCCUAGCUGGUCUGAGAGGAUGAUCAGCCACACUGGAACUGAGACACGGUCCAGACUCCUACGGGAGGCAGCAGUGGGGAAUAUUGCACAAUGGGCGCAAGCCUGAUGCAGCCAUGCCGCGUGUGUGAAGAAGGCCUUCGGGUUGUAAAGCACUUUCAGUCGUGAGGAAGGUAGUGUAGUUAAUAGCUGCAUUAUUUGACGUUAGCGACAGAAGAAGCACCGGCUAACU